rnacentral:rRNA from 1 species
UCGCGGAUCAGCAUGCCGCGGUGAAUACGUUCCCGGGCCUUGUACACACCGCCCGUCACACCACGAGAGUUUGUAACACCCGAAGUCGGUGAGGUAACCUUUUAGGAGCCAGCCGCCGAAGGUGGGACAGAUGAUUGGGGUGAAGUCGUAACAAGGUAGCCGUAUCGGAAGGUGCGGCUGGAUCACCUCCUUUCUAAGGA